rnacentral:misc_RNA from 1 species
AACUUUUGGCAAUGGAUCUCUUGGCUCUCGCAUCGAUGAAGAACGCAGCGAAAUGCGAUAAGUAAUGUGAAUUGCAGAAUACAGUGAAUCAUCGAAUCUUUGAACGCACCUUGCGCCCCUUGGUUAUUCCUUGGGGCAUGCCUGUUUGAGUAUCAUGAACACCUCAACUCUCACGGUCUUCCGUGACGAGCUUGGACUUUGGGGGUUUGCUGGCCCUGCGGCCGGCUCCUCUCAAACAAAUCAGCUUGCCAGUGUUUGGCGGCAUCUCACGGGUGUGAUAACUAUCUACGCUCGCGGUUGUCUGCCAGGUAACCCUCAGCAAUGAAGGUUCAUUGGGGCUCAUAAACGUCUCUCCUCGGCGAGGACAGCUUUUGAACGUUCGAUCUCAAAUCAGGUAGGACUACCCGCUGAACUUAAGCAUAUCAAUAAGCGGAGGCU